AUACGUAGGUGGCAAGCGUUGUCCGGAUUUAUUGGGCGUAAAGCGAGCGCAGGCGGUUUCUUAAGUCUGAUGUGAAAGCCCCCGGCUCAACCGGGGAGGGUCAUUGGAAACUGGGAGACUUGAGUGCAGAAGAGGAGAGUGGAAUUCCAUGUGUAGCGGUGAAAUGCGUAGAUAUAUGGAGGAACACCAGUGGCGAAGGCGACUCUCUGGGCUGUAACUGACGCUGAGGCUCGAAAGCGUGGGGAGCAAACAGGAUUAGAUACCCUGGUAGUCCACGCCGUAAACGAUGAGUGCUAAGUGUUGGAGGGUUUCCGCCCUUCAGUGCUGCAGCUAACGCAUUAAGCACUCCGCCUGGGGAGUACGACCGCAAGGUUGAAACUCAAAUGAAUUGACGGGG
rnacentral:rRNA from 1 species